UUCCGGUUGAUCCUGCCGGAGGCCACUGCUAUCGGACUCCGACUAAGCCAUGCGAGUUUAGGGGCUCUUCGGAGCACCGGCAGACGGCUCAGUAACGCGUGGACAACCUACCCUCAGGUUGGGGAUAACCUCGGGAAACUGAGGCUAAUACCCCAUAGGUCUUGGAUACUGGAAGGUUCCGAGGCUGAAAGCUCCGGCGCCUGAGGAUGGGCCUGCGGCCUAUCAGGUAGUUGGUGGUGUAAAGGACCACCAAGCCUGCGACGGGUACGGGCCCUGAGAGGGGGAGCCCGGAGAUGGACUCUGAGACACGAGUCCAGGCCCUACGGGGCGCAGCAGGCGCGAAACCUUCGCAAUGUGCGAAAGCGCGACGAGGGGAGUCCGAGUGCCCUUCCUUCGGGGAGGGCUUUUCCCAAGCCUAAAAAGCUUGGGGAAUAAGGGCUGGGCAAGACGGGUGCCAGCCGCCGCGGUAAUACCCGCAGCUCGAGUGGUGGCCACUAUUAUUGAGCCUAAAGCGUCCGUAGCCGGACCCGUAAAUCCCUGGGUUAAAUCCCACCGCUCAACGGUGAGAAUUCCGGGGAGACUGCGGGUCUUGGGACCGGGAGAGGCUGGAGGUACUCCCGGGGUAGCGGUGAAAUGCUGUAAUCCCGGGGGGACCACCUGUGGCGAAAGCGUCCAGCUUGAACGGCUCCGACGGUGAGGGACGAAGGCCAGGGGAGCGAACCGGAUUAGAUACCCGGGUAGUCCUGGCUGUAAACGCUGCCCGCUUGGUGUUGCCGGUCUUUCGGGGGCCGGCAGUGCCGGAGCGAAGGUGUUAAGCGGGCCGCUUGGGAAGUACGGCCGCAAGGCUGAAACUUAAAGGAAUUGGCGGGGGAGCACAGCAACGGGAGGAGCGUGCGGUUUAAUUGGAUUCAACGCCGGGA
rnacentral:rRNA from 1 species